GCACCCAUGGAGCAGAAGUUAGCUCAUUCCUCUUACAUGGUCUAAUGGGGGCAGGAAAGACCUAGGUGCAAAUCCCAGUGGGUGCA